GUGGGGAAUCUUGCGCAAUGGGCGAAAGCCUGACGCAGCCAUGCCGCGUGGAUGAUGAAGGUCUUAGGAUUGUAAAAUCCUUUCACCGGUGAAGAUAAUGACUGUAGCCGGAGAAGAAGCCCCGGCUAACUUCGUGCCAGCAGCCGCGGUAAUACGAAGGGGGCUAGCGUUGCUCGGAAUUACUGGGCGUAAAGGGAGCGUAGGCGGACAUUUAAGUCAGGGGUGAAAUCCCGAGGCUCAACCUCGGAACUGCCUUUGAUACUGGGUGUCUCGAGUGUGAGAGAGGUGGGUGGAACUCCGAGUGUAGAGGUGAAAUUCGUAGAUAUUCGGAAGAACACCAGUGGCGAAGGCGACUCGCUGGCUCAUUACUGACGCUGAGGCUCGAAAGCGUGGGGAGCAAACAGGAUUAGAAUCCCGGGUAGUCC
rnacentral:rRNA from 1 species